CGGCAUAGCUCAGUCGGUAGAGCAACUCAUUCGUAAUGAGUAGGUCGUUGGUUCGAUUCCGAUUGCCGG
rnacentral:tRNA from 1 species